CCGACGGGUGAGUAACACGUAUGCAAUCCACCUGUAACAGGGGGAGUAACCCGGAGAAAUCCGGACUAAUACCCAUAAUAUGGGCGCUCCGCAUGGAGAGUUCAUUAAAGAGAGCAAUUUUGGUUACAGACGAGCAUGCGCUCCAUUAGCCAGUUGGCGGGGUAACGGCCCACCAAGGCGACGAUGGAUAGGGGUUCUGAGAGGAAGGUCCCCCACAUUGGAACUGAGACACGGUCCAA
rnacentral:rRNA from 1 species